rnacentral:rRNA from 1 species
GUCUAUGGCCAUGCCACCCUGAACAAGCCAGAUCCUGUCUGAUCUCAGAAGCUAAGCAGGGUCAGGCCUGGUUAGUACUUGGAUGGGAGACCACCUUGGAAUACCAGGUACCACAGGCA